rnacentral:rRNA from 1 species
CAUCAUUUAAAGAAAGCGUAAUAGCUCACUGGUCGAGUCGGCCUGCGCGGAAGAUGUAACGGGGCUAAACCAUGCACCGAAGCUGCGGCAGCGAACGUAUCACUUAAAGCGAUUCAGCGGGUUACGAUUGACGGAGCGAAGCGACGUCAAAGCGUAUACAAAGUCGAGUCGGUUUAAGGAUACGUUCGUUGGGUAGGGGAGCGUUCUGUAAGCCUGUGAAGGUGUGUCGUGAGGCAUGCUGGAGGUAUCAGAAGUGCGAAUGCUGACAUAAGUAACGAUAAAGCGGGUGAAAAGCCCGCUCGCCGGAAGACCAAGGGUUCCUGUCCAACGUUAAUCGGGGCAGGGUGAGUCGACCCCUAAGGCGAGGCCGAAAGGCGUAGUCGAUGGGAAACGGGUUAAUAUUCCCGUACUUGGUGUUACUGCGAAGGGGGGACGGAGAAGGCUAUGUUGGCCGGGCGACGGUUGUCCCGGUUUAAGCGUGUAGGCUGGUUUUCCAGGCAAAUCCGGAAAAUCAAGGCUGAGGCGUGACGACGAGGCACUACGGUGCUGAAGCAACAAAUGCCCUGCUUCCAGGAAAAGCCUCUAAGCAUCAGGUAACAUCAAAUCGUACCCCAAACCGACACAGGUGGUCAGGUAGAGAAUACCAAGGCGCUUGAGAGAACUCGGGUGAAGGAACUAGGCAAAAUGGUGCCGUAACUUCGGGAGAAGGCACGCUGACACGUAGGUGAAGUGAUUUACUCAUGGAGCUGAAGUCAGUCGAAGAUACCAGCUGGCUGCAACUGUUUAUUAAAAACACAGCACUGUGCAAACACGAAAGUGGACGUAUACGGUGUGACGCCUGCCCGGUGCCGGAAGGUUAAUUGAUGGGGUCAGCGCAAGCGAAGCUCCUGAUCGAAGCCCCGGUAAACGGCGGCCGUAACUAUAACGGUCCUAAGGUAGCGAAAUUCCUUGUCGGGUAAGUUCCGACCUGCACGAAUGGCGUAAUGAUGGCCAGGCUGUCUCCACCCGAGACUCAGUGAAAUUGAACUCGCUGUGAAGAUGCAGUGUACCCGCGGCAAGACGGAAAGACCCCGUGAACCUUUACUAUAGCUUGACACUGAACAUUGAGCCUUGAUGUGUAG